rnacentral:misc_RNA from 1 species
UUUCCGUAGGUGAACCUGCGGAAGGAUCAUUACCGAGUACCGGAGCCCUCGGGUUCCUACUCCCACCCUAUGUUGACUUUAAACGUUGCUUUGGCGGACCGGGUUAAACCGCCGGCCUAGGCUGGAUAGCGUCCGCCAGAGGAUUUUUAAACUCUGUAAUUGUGAAUUCCGAGUACUUAAAAAUUGAAUCAAAACUUUCAACAACGGAUCUCUUGGUUCUGGCAUCGAUGAAGAACGCAGC